GUGGGGAAUCUUGCGCAAUGGGCGAAAGCCUGACGCAGCCAUGCCGCGUGAAUGAUGAAGGUCUUAGGAUUGUAAAAUUCUUUCACCGGGGACGAUAAUGACGGUACCCGGAGAAGAAGCUCCGGCUAACUUCGUGCCAGCAGCCGCGGUAAUACGAAGGGGGCUAGCGUUGCUCGGAAUUACUGGGCGUAAAGGGCGCGUAGGCGGACAGCUUAGUCAGUGGUGAAAGCCCAGGGCUCAACCUUGGAAUUGCCUUUGAUACUGGCUGUCUUGAGUUUGGGAGAGGUGAGUGGAACUCCGAGUGUAGAGGUGAAAUUCGUAGAUAUUCGGAAGAACACCAGUGGCGAAGGCGACUCACUGGCCCAAUACUGACGCUGAGGCGCGAAAGCGUGGGGAGCAAACAGGAUUAGAAACCCCAGUAGUCC
rnacentral:rRNA from 1 species